UUCAAAGGUUAUGAGAAUAGUAGUUAAUUUGUCCUUUCUGGCCCAGCUCCCCACAUUUUCUCACAAGGGCACUGUAUAUAUGCAUUGUAGAGGGUGGUUUGGAGGAUUUUUGUUUGUUGGUUUGCUUUGUUUUGUUUUUGUUUUUCAAGAUCGGUUUCUCUGUAUAUCCCUGGCUGUCAUGGACCUCAAAUUCUGCCUGAUUCUGCCUCCCAAGUGCUGGGAUUAAAGGCGUGUGCCACCACUG
rnacentral:lncRNA from 1 species